GACAGAGGGUGCGAACGUUGUUCGGAAUUACUGGGCGUAAAGCGUGUGUAGGCGGCCAAGAAAGUCGGAUGUGAAAGCCCUGGGCUCAACCCAGGAAGUGCACCCGAUACUGCUUGGCUAGAGUAUCGGAGAGGUUGGUGGAAUUCUCGGUGUAGAGGUGAAAUUCGUAGAUAUCGAGAGGAACACCGGUGGCGAAGGCGGCCAACUGGACGAAUACUGACGCUGAGACACGAAAGCGUGGGGAGCAAACAGG
rnacentral:rRNA from 1 species